UUUACCUGGUUGAUCCUGCCAGUAGUCAUAUGCUUAUCUCAAAGAUUAAGCCCAUGCAUGUCUAAGUACAGAGAUUUAUAUUCUAAAACCGCGGAUGGCUCAUUAUAACAGCUAUGAUUUGAGAGAAGUAAUCUUUUUGCUACAAGAUAACUGUGGUAAUUCUAGAGCUAAUAUUUACAAGAAUGCCGUGACUAACGAAGCGGCGGAUUUAUUAGAUCAAAAUCAACCAGGCACGCAAGUGUCGGUAUAUUGAUGAAUCUGGAUAACUUUACUGAUCAAACGACCUUGUGUCGUUGACGAAUCUCUUGAAAUGGCUGACCUAUCAACUUUCGAUGGUAAGAUCAAAGCUUACCAUGGUUGUAACGGGUAACGGGGAAUCAGUGUUCGAUUCCGGAGAGGGAGCCUGAGAAACGGCUACCACAUCCACGGAAGGCAGCAGGCGCGUAAAUUACCCAAUACCGGCUCGGUGAGGUAGUGACAAAAAAUAACAAUAUGGGCCCUAGUGGUUUCAUAAUUGCAAUGAGAAAAUUUUAAAUACUUUAUCAAGUAUCAAUUGGAGGGCAAGUCUGGUGCCAGCAGCCGCGGUAAUUCCAGCUCCAAAAGCGUAUAUUAAAGUUGUUGCAGUUAAAACGCUCGUAGUUGAAAUUGGGGACUUGCGACUAGUUGAAACCUAUGGUUGAUAUUGGUUGUUUCCUUCGUCGUCGUGUAUAUCGCUGAUGUUCUUUAAUGGAUGUCAUCAAUAACCGACAAGUUUACUUUGAAAAAAUUAGAGUGCUUAAAGCAGGCUUACGCUYGUAUAUUGUUGCAUGGAAUAAUGAAAUAGGACUUUGGUUUUAUUUUGUUGGUUUUCGAAACUGAAGUAAUGAUUAAAAGAGACUGCCGGGGGCAUAUGUAUGCUGGCGUUAGAGGAGAAGUUCUUAGAUCGUCAGCAGACAAACUACUGCGAAAGCAUUUGCCAAGAAUGUUUUCAUUAAUCAAGAACGAAAGUCAGAGGAUCGAAGACGAUCAGAUACCGUCCUAGUUCUGACCGUAAACUAUGCCAACUGACAGUUAGAUAAGGUAAUUCAAAUCUCCUUUCUAGAAGUCACCGGGAAACCUAAGUCUAUGGGUUCCGGGGGAAGUAUGGUUGCAAAGCUGAAACUUAAAGGAAUUGACGGAAGGGCACCACCAGGAGUGGAGCCUGCGGCUUAAUUUGACUCAACACGGGAAAUCUCACCCGGUCCGGACACUGUGAGGAUUGACAGAUUGAUAGCUCUUUCAUGAUUUGGUGGGUGGUGGUGCAUGGCCGUUCUUAGUUGGUGGAGCGAUUUGUCUGGUUAAUUCCGAUAACGAACGAGACUCUGACCUGCUAAAUAGUAAAUUUGUGUUUAAUCGCAAAUCUUUACUUCUUAGAGGAAUAAAUAGCGUUUAGCUAAAUGAAAUGGAGCAAUAACAGGUCUGUGAUGCCCUUAGAUGUCCGGGGCCGCACGCGCGCUACAAUGGCGGUAACAACAAGUUUGUCCUGGCUAGAAAUGGUUGGGUAAUCUUGUGAAUCACCGUCGUGUCAGGAAUAGUGGAUUGCAAUUUUCCCACUUGAACGAGGAAUUCCUAGUAAGCGCAAGUCAUCAACUUGCGCUGAUUACGUCCCUGCCCUUUGUACACACCGCCCGUCGCUACUACCGAUUGAAUGGUUUAGUGAGAUUGUUGGAUUCUGCACUAAGAAAUGGCAACAUUUCUAUGAAUGGGAAAAGACACUCAAACUUGAUCAUUUAGAAAGNGGUAAAAGYCGUAAACAAGGUUUCCGUAGGUGAACCUGCGGAAGGAUCMAAGGGCGAAUUCGUAACGCGC
rnacentral:rRNA from 1 species